GACGAACGCUGGCGGCGUGCCUAAUACAUGCAAGUCGAGCGCAGGAAAUCAUCCGAACCCUUCGGGGGGACGUUGAUGGAAUGAGCGGCGGACGGGUGAGUAACACGUAAAGAACCUGCCCUCAGGUCUGGGAUAACCACGAGAAAUCGGGGCUAAUACCGGAUGGGUCAUCGGACCGCAUGGUCCGAGGAUGAAAGGCGCUUCGGCGUCGCCUGGGGAUGGCUUUGCGGUGCAUUAGCUAGUUGGUGGGGUAAUGGCCCACCAAGGCGACGAUGCAGAGCCGACCUGGGAGGGGGAUCGGCCACACUGGGACUGAGACACGGACCAGACUCCUACGGGAAGCAGCAGUAGGGAAUCUUCCACAAUGGACGAAAGUCUGAUGGAGCAACGCCGCGUGAACGAUGAAGGCCUUCGGGUCGUAAAGUUCUGUUGUAAGGGAAGAACAAGUGCCGCAGGCAAUGGCGGCACCUUGACGGUACCUUGCGAGAAAGCCACGGCUAACUACGUGCCAGCAGCCGCAGUAACAC
rnacentral:rRNA from 1 species